UCUUUCUUAGUAUAAAUUAAUACUUCCUACUUCCAAUAGGAAAAACCCGAAAAGGGGGAAAGAA
rnacentral:tRNA from 1 species